UACAUGGGGUGCAAACGUUGCUCGGAAUCAUUGGGCGUAAAGCGCGCGUAGGCGGUUACUCAAGUCGGAUGUGAAAGCCCUCGGCUUAACUGAGGAAGUGCACCCGAAACUGAGUAGCUAGAGUACUAAAGAGGGUCGCGGAAUUCCCGGUGUAGAGGUGAAAUUCGUAGAUAUCGGGAGGAACACCGGUGGCGAAGGCGGCGACCUGGGUAGAUACUGACGCUGAGGCGCGAAAGCGUGGGGAGCAAACAGG
rnacentral:rRNA from 1 species